rnacentral:rRNA from 1 species
UGGGGAAUAUUGGGGCAAUGGGGCGCAAGCCUGACCCAGCAACGCCGCGUGGAGGAAGAAGGCUUUCGGGUUGUAAACUUCUUUUGUCAGGGACGAGCAGAAGACGGUACCUGACGAAUAAGCCACGGCUAACUACGUGCCAGCAGCCGCGGUAAUACGUAGGUGGCAAGCGUUGUCCGGAUUUACUGGGUGUAAAGGGCGUGUAGCCGGGAGGGCAAGUCAGAUGUGAAAUCCACGGGCUUAACUCGUGAACUGCAUUUGAAACUGUGGAUCUUGAGUGCUGGAGGGGCAAUCGGAAUUCCUAGUGUAGCGGUGAAAUGCGUAGAUAUUAGGAGGAACACCAGUGGCGAAGGCGGAUUGCUGGACAGUAACUGACGGUGAGGCGCGAAAGUGUGGGGAGCAAACAGGAUUAGAUACCCUGGUAGU